rnacentral:lncRNA from 1 species
GUUAACAUAAACUAACAAAACAAAUGAGAAACAAGUGUGUUUAAGGGCUGAGCUUGCAAAGAACCAAACAACGAGGCCGGAAUUAUGGAAUUCCGUCCUGCAAUUGCCCGGAAAUAUCUGUCACAAAGGUUACACGUGCCUCUCUUUAGAGUGUAGAACUCGUGAAAAUGAUCCAAGUCCCUUUGCAAGGUGCCUACAUACCCUAUAUUUAUAGGGAUCAAGCCCAUGUAGUUCUCGAUUUAGGACUCUGAAGAGAUAAGCUCUUAUCCCCUCUAGUUUAGGAUAAAACAGCCUUCUUUCAGUAGUUAUCCAGAGGUAUCCCACUCCAAGUAGGUCACCUGAAGCCUUCCUCUUCAAUAUAUAUCCGAAUAUUCUUGAAUUAUCUUUCCCCAUUGUAAUUAUCUCCACAAUGCACGUAUUUAUCUCUUAAUUCGUAGAUAAAUAAUAGCUGAUACACUCCCAAUAUGUCUCCAAUUCGUCCUCCUAGAAACAAAGAAGAAGAGUCCUGCUUGGAGUCUGCCUGCCAUUCUGCCCAAACGGCGGAAGCCCUGCCAGCGGCAUCCCCUAGCUGCAGCCCCAUAACUGCAAGCCAGGAUGCACUUAGCGGUAACCCCUAGCAGCGGUAACCCCUAAAAAACUGCAAGCCAGGAUGCACUUAGCGGUAACCCCUAGCAGCGGUAACCCCUAAAACGCCUUCAAGUGCAACCCCAUUAUGAUGGCAGCCUUCAAUGUGCCUCCAAUGCAAGUCCAUACACCUUCUUGUACAUCUUCAAUGAUCCACCCAGCCAUGGCGAAGCCCAUUAUUCUUAACCAAAUGAUUCCAAUAAGCCUAGGUGAAGCCCAAAUAAUAUGAUGGGCUAUAAAAUAAGCCCAGGGAGAUUUUAUGGCACAACA